rnacentral:tRNA from 1 species
GGAGGAUUAGUGAAGUGGCUAAACACGGCAGACUGUAAAUCUGCUCUCUGACGAGUUCGGUGGUUCGAAUCCAUCAUCCUCCACCA